GACGAACGCUGGCGGCGUGCUUAACACAUGCAAGUCGAACGGAAAGGCCUGCUUUCCCUUGUGGAUUGCGGGUACUCGAGUGGCGAACGGGUGAGUAACACGUGAGUGAUCUGCCCCCAACUUGGGUAUAAGCCUGGGAAACUGGGUCUAAUUCCCGAUAGGACUGCAGGGUGGUGCCUGUGGUGGAAAACGAUGUUCUAGUGGUUGGGGAUGAGCUCGCGGCCUAUCAGCUUGUUGGUGGGGUAAUGGCCUACCAAGGCGGCGACGGGUAGCCGGCCUGAGAGGGUGGACGGCCACAUUGGGACUGGGAUCCGGCCCAGACUCCUACGGGAGGCAGCAGUGGGGAAUAUUGCACAGUGGGCGGAAGCCUGAUGCAGCGACGCCGCGUGGGGGAUGACGGCCUUCGGGUUGUAACCUCCUUUCGACCGCGAGGAAGCCACCUGGUUGGAAGGGUGGUGACGGUAGUGGUAGAAGAAGCACCGGCUAACUACGUG
rnacentral:rRNA from 1 species